UACGUAGGGGGCAAGCGUUGUCCGGAAUCAUUGGGCGUAAAGCGCGUGUAGGCGGCUUGGUAAGUCCGUUCUGAAAGCCCGGGGCUCAACCCCGGGAGGCGGAUGGAUACUGCUGAGCUCGAGUCCGGAAGAGGCGAGUGGAAUUCCUGGUGUAGCGGUGAAAUGCGCAGAUAUCAGGAGGAACACCGAUGGCGAAGGCAGCUCGCUGGGACGAUACUGACGCUGAGACGCGAAAGCGUGGGGAGCAAACAGG
rnacentral:rRNA from 1 species